rnacentral:rRNA from 2 species
UACAUGCAGUCGAACGAAACUUCUUUAUCACCGAGUGCUUGCACUCACCGAUAAAGAGUUGAGUGGCGAACGGGUGAGUAACACGUGGGCAACCUGCCCAAAAGAGGGGGAUAACACUUGGAAACAGGUGCUAAUACCGCAUAACCAUAGUUACCGCAUGGUAACUAUGUAAAAGGUGGCUAUGCUACCGCUUUUGGAUGGGCCCGCGGCGCAUUAGCUAGUUGGUGGGGUAAAGGCUUACCAAGGCAAUGAUGCGUAGCCGAACUGAGAGGUUGAUCGGCCACAUUGGGACUGAGACACGGCCCAAACUCCUACGGGAGGCAGCAGUAGGGAAUCUUCCACAAUGGGCGAAAGCCUGAUGGAGCAACGCCGCGUGGGUGAAGAAGGUCUUCGGAUCGUAAAACCCUGUUGUUAGAGAAGAAAGUGCGUGAGAGUAACUGUUCACGUUUCGACGGUAUCUAACCAGAAAGCCACGGCUAACUACGUGCCAGCAGCCGCGGUAAUACGUAGGUGGCAAGCGUUAUCCGGAUUUAUUGGGCGUAAAGGGAACGCAGGCGGUCUUUUAAGUCUGAUGUGAAAGCCUUCGGCUUAACCGGAGUAGUGCAUUGGAAACUGGGAGACUUGAGUGCAGAAGAGGAGAGUGGAACUCCAUGUGUAGCGGUGAAAUGCGUAGAUAUAUGGAAGAACACCAGUGGCGAAAGCGGCUCUCUGGUCUGUAACUGACGCUGAGGUUCGAAAGCGUGGGUAGCAAACAGGAUUAGAUACCCUGGUAGUCCACGCCGUAAACGAUGAAUGCUAAGUGUUGGAGGGUUUCCGCCCUUCAGUGCUGCAGCUAACGCAAUAAGCAUUCCGCCUGGGGAGUACGACCGCAAGGUUGAAACUCAAAGGAAUUGACGGGGGCCCGCACAAGCGGUGGAGCAUGUGGUUUAAUUCGAAGCAACGCGAAGAACCUUACCAGGUCUUGAC